rnacentral:lncRNA from 1 species
CAAUCCCUGAUGCUAAACUAGAUGCUGCAAUAAAAACAGGACUUUUCGACUACGUUUGGAUACAGUUUUACAACAACCCUCAGUGUCAUUACACAGGCACGGCGACUAAUCUUUUGGCCAGGUGGAGGCAAUGGGCUGCUGCACUUCCUUCCCGCAGUCAGAUCUUUCUUGGAUUACCGGCAGCUUCUGCAGCAGCGCCUAGCGGUGGUUACAUUUCCCCUAGUGCAUUAAUCUCUCAGGUUCUUCCAACUAUCAAGAGGACUCCAAAGUAUGGGGGAAUCAUGCUGUGGAAUAAGCUGUAUGAUAAAACUUUCAGUUCUGCUAUCAAGAACAGCAUCUAAUGUAUUCAACCGACUAGGGAAAGGCAAGUACUACUACANGGAAAGACAAGUACUACUACAAAUCAAUAAAUCUGAAUGUAAUCCUGCCUUGAGUUUCGAAUAAGAUAUUUCUUAGUCAGAUGACCAUCAAAGUUAGGAUUGUUGAUCCAGAACUCGUUUGAUAGACACAAAAAUUUCUAUUUGACUUCAAAGAAUACAAAAUCCGAAAAUAACAGCAACUUCUGACCAUAAACCUGAAUAGCUCAGAAUGGUUCUUUCACUAAAAUUUUAUCCAAGUUUAUAUAUGUUGGUCAGCAAAUUUUAUUUAGUGCUAAAAGUACACAAUCUUGACGUCGUUACAAACACAAUUAAGACAAACGCAGCAUCUUAACCCCUAAUUAAAGUAGACACUGAAUUGGUUGUAGAUAUUUAUAAAAUGCUUGCAAGUCUCAAACUCAGAAGAAAAAAAACUAAGAACUGGCUGGUUUGAUCUUUUGUCUUAGAACGAGUCAUUGCCUUGAUGAAGUCGCGAUGCAACUACAAAGAGGAUUGACACAUGCAGCCAAAAAAUAAUAAGAAGAAAGCUAUCUGAAGCUGUUACAAACACUAUCACCGGAUAUGGCAGCAGCCGGUCCAGAACUAUCGAUUAUUAUCAACAUGCUACUUGCGCUUUUUUCUGCUUUUAGGCAAAAUCCUAAAAUGAAUCAAUUUUCUACUCAUAGACCCUUUAGCGCCCACAUCCAAGUUAGACUCAAUCUCUCCCAGCGGAAAUAAACAACUAGUAGGAUGUUGUAUCAAUCACUUGUCAGGGAUCCGGACCUCACUAAAGAUUAAGCAAUAAAGACCGUAUUCCCAUGUACUUGAAUUCUUGAAUGCCUGAUGGAAGUAAGCAAGAUACAAGGAGAGAAGAGCAUGCUCAGAAGUUGAGGGAGGCUUGGAAGAGGAGGAUUAAUACCACUCGUUAAACAUAUUUUUUUUUUUCGAAUGUCAUUUGUGUAACCUAUUUCGGACCUAUAUACAGUAAUACUAAGUUCGGUAAAACAAAUAUAAAAUAUUCAUGUUAUGCUAAUAGUACGAGGGUUAGAUAUGAAUGUGAGAUGAUGAGUAAGGUUGCGUUCACUUGGAUGAAAUGAAAAAAAAUAUACAGAAGUUUUAUGGAGGAAGACAAUAAUGAUCGACUAAAUAUGAGUGAGCCUAAUUUUUCAUUACAUUGAUUGUAGAGAAACAUGACGUAGAAGUGGAAUGAGCAGUGUUCCUUUCAAAACAUUUGAGUUGGAUUUCUAGUUCAAAUAGUUGGAAUGGAAUGACUGAAUCAAUGAAAAUCAUGGAUAUUUUCUCUAAUCAUUGGAGUACAAAAUUCAUUUGAUUCUAUUCAAGUGAACGCAACUUAAGUAUGUCAUUGAUUUUAAUACUUAUUAAGAAUGAAUGAAGUUUAAAUCCUAGAACCAAAACAAGAUCCAGAAGUCUUAUUUUCGAAAUGGAAGACUGACUCGAAGUCUUGCCCUGAGGUCUACCAUCCCAAAUUUCUAACACUUAGCUAUACAAGUCGGUCACAAAAUACCAACUACUUGUCCAUGACAAACAGCUUUCGUGGAAGAUGCCCCCUUUGUUUUCAACACUCUCAUUUUCACAAAAUUCAACUCUUUUAAAGCUCUGUGCAAGUACUAUGAGUCCAAAACACCUCAUUCUCAGGCCUAUAAAAUGUCCAUUCAUUAGCAACUAUUACAUCAAACAAGUUCCACUUCCCCUCUAAACAUGGCAAGCAUUUCCCCGCUACUCUUCCUGCUCUUCCUUUCGUGCACUUUCACACUUUUCCAUUCCUCCCGAGGUGCUGGAAUCGCCAUCUACUGGGGACAGAGUGGCAAUGAAGGCACAUUGGCUUCCACCUGCGCCUCAGGAAACUACCAAUAUGUACUCAUUGCUUUCUUAACCACAUUUGGCAGUGGCCGAACCCCGGUCCUAAAUUUAGCUAGCCAUUGCACUCCCAGCUCUAAUGGCUGCACCGUUUUGAGCAACGUUAUCUCCACUUGCCAAAGCAAUGGUAUCAAGGUCCUGCUCUCUCUUGGCGGUGGUUCCAACUCAGCUACAAGCAUGUCCUCUCCGGCUGAUGCAAGGCAAGUAGCUACCUACCUCUACAACAACUUUUUAGGUGGACAAUCAGCUUCUAGACCUUUCGGGAGUGCCAUUUUAGAUGGCGUAGACUUUGACAUCGAACAAGGUUCAAGUCUUUACUAUGAUGAUCUUGCCCGAGCUCUUUCCGGGUUCAGCACACCACAGAGGAAAGUUUACUUAUCAGCAGCACCGCAAUGUCCAAUCCCUGAUGCUAAACUAGAUGCUGCAAUAAAAACAGGACUUUUCGACUACGUUUGGAUUCAGUUUUACAACAACCCACAGUGUCAUUACACAGGCACGGCUACUAAUCUUUUGGCAAGAUGGAAGCAAUGGGCUGCUGCACUUCCAUCCGGCAGUCAGAUCUUUCUUGGAUUACCGGCAGCUUCUGCAGCAGCGCCUAGCGGUGGUUAUAUUUCUCCAAGUGCAUUAAUCUCUCAGGUUCUUCCAACUAUAAAGACUACUCCAAGUUAUGGGGGGAUCAUGCUGUGGAAUAAGCUGUUUGAUAAAACUUUUAGUUCCGCAAUCAAGAACAGCAUUUAAUAUGUUUAAUCAACUAGCAACCUGGGAAAAUAAGCAGUAAUACUCUAUAUGAAAAUCGUCUUGUCAUCAAUAAAUCUGAAUGCACUUCAGGCUUGAGCUUUAAUCAAAUAUUUCUCUCAUCAAAUGGCCACUACGGUUAGGGUUGUCGAUCCAGCAUCUGAAUCAAUUUAAUAUAGAAAAAUUUAUAUUCUGAUUCAACUUCAGAGAUGCAAAAUCGGACAAUAACAGUUAUUUCUGACCAUUAACCUUACUGAAUGAGCUGCGGAUAUAUGUAAAAUGUGUGCAAGUAUUUAAUGCUAGAAAAAAAAAUGAAGAACAGGUUGGUCUAAUCUCAUGUUGUAGAAUGAGUCAGUCGCUAUGCAACUACAUUUGACAAUGAUUAACACAUGUUUUUUUUCUUUUUGAUAAUAAGGUGUGUGACGCGCAACUUAUCCUAGAGGGGCCUAGCAUAACAACCCAACUUACGCGUACCUCGACUUAACCCAAAAGGGCCUAGCACAACAACCCGGCUUAUGCGCACCUCAACUUAUCAUGGAGGGGCCUAGCACAACCAACCUCGAUCACAUUUUUUGCUACAGAUAAAUCAACAAAAAUUAUAUUGCUAUGUUACAAGCACAUUUUGUAGCAUACCAUUUAACAAUAGGCCUCAAGCAACUGAAGGCUACAAAUUAUAGUGAAAAAUAACUUUUAGUUUAUGGAUUGGAUAAAUUUAUUGAUAAUUCAUGAUCUAAUAUGUAUAAAAAUUAAUAAUAAUCAAAAUAAGUGAGGAAAAUAAGUUAGGAUUUUCAACUUCUCAGAUUCUAACUUAUAAAUUUACAUAAACAGUACUAAUAAGUCACAGGUCGGGUGAAAAAGUUACCCAAACAGGCCUAAGAAAUUCUCCAAGCCUAUAAACGCCUCUCAAUUUCGAAAUGCGGUGGAGGGCCUAAAUUCCAAAUGAAAGGCCGACUUUAAAGUCUUGUCCUCAGGUCUACUAUCCCGAAUUUGUAACUAUUAGCGAGACAAGCAAGUCACGGAAAGCCAAAUACAAGCUUGUCCUUGACGAACAGCUUUCGUGGAACACGCAUCCUUUGUUUUCCAUACUCUCAUUUACACAAAAUUCAACUCUUAUGUUCUAUCCAAGAACUUACAUUCAACUCCCUGCACUCUCAAUCCUAUAUAAUGACCAUUUAUCAGCAACUAUUACGUCAAGCAAUCCAAGCUCGCCCUCAAACAUGGCAAGCAUUUCUCAGGUCCUCUUUCUGCUCUUCCUCACAUUUGCUUUUCUCUUUUUCCAUUCUGCCCAAGGAGCUGGAAUUGCCGUCUACUGGGGACAGAACGGCAAUGAAGGCUCCUUGGAGUCCACUUGCGCAUCAGGCAACUAUAAGUAUGUACUCAUUGCUUUCUUAAUCACCUCUGGGAGUGGUCGAACACCGGCCCUAAACUUAGCUGGCCAUUGUGAUCCUGCCUCUAACGGCUGCACCUUCUUGAGCUCCCAGAUUUCUACUUGCCAGAGCAAUGGCAUCAAAGUCCUCCUCUCUCUUGGUGGCGGGCAAGGGUCGGAAACAAGCAUGUCUUCUCCGGCUGAUGCUAAGCAAGUAGCUAACUAUCUCUACAACAACUUCUUAGAUGGACAAUCAGCUUCUCGACCUUUCGGGUCUGCCAUUUUAGAUGGCGUAGACUUUGACAUCGAACACGGUUCCAGUCUUUACUAUGAUGAUCUAGCACGGGACCUCUCGGGUUUCAGCACACCACAGAGAAAAGUCUACUUGUCAGCAGCACCACAAUGUCCUAUCCCUGACGCUAAACUAGACGCUGCAAUUCAAACUGGCCUUCUCGACUACGUCUGGAUACAAUUUUACAACAACCCACAGUGUCAUUACACAGGCACAGCUACUAAUCUUUUGGCAAGGUGGAGAGAGUGGGCUGCCGCGACUCCACCACGCAGUCAGAUCUUUCUUGGAUUACCAGCGGAUACCGCAGCAGCACCUAGUGGUGGCUAUAUAUCACCGAGUGCAUUAAUCUCUGAAGUUCUUCCAAGUAUCAAGACUACAACAAGCUAUGGCGGUGUCAUGCUUUGGAAUAAGUUUUAUGAUACGAGUUUUAGUUCAGCUAUCAAGAACAGUAUAUAAUAUGUAACUGGAAACAAAUAUGAUGUGAUACCAGAUAUCAGAACCCGCUUCUUAUCGAUAAAUCUACAUAAACACCUGCUUCUAAGUUUCGAAUAAAGAGAUUUUCCUCAGAGAAACACCAUCAGAGUCGAUACUAAAUUACUUGUAAAUAUUAGUAAGAAAAAAUACAAGUGUUAAUUGCGCUUAACAUUGGGCGGAAAGAAAUUAAAGAAGAAGAAACACAAUCCCAACGACAGGAAAAAAAAAAUGAACUUUUGAUAUUAUAUCAGUAAUCAAAAAGUUCUUGUUAAUUUACUGACUGGUAACUAAGGAUUACAAACAAAACUAAAAAAUAGAGCUGACAAGAUUCAAGAGAGCUCGCAUGUAUGGCACGCGAAAGGCUUCAUAGUACAAGCAGAAUUACACUCAAUGUGACAAACUAGAAAAGGAUGUAAUCAGCCAACCAUAUUUGAGGGAAGCGCACUUUUUUCACACUGUAAAAAUAUUUGCCCUUUUACACCUUCCUGAUCUGGAUAUUGCGGGCGGACUGUAAUCGUUAGAUGGGCUGUUUACCACUCUGCACAAGAGCCACUUGUUCUCCCUCCUUUACCAUCCCUUGCUCCUGUAAAUGAGUCAGGCAGAUUUAAUACGACUCCCAUUGAUGUUGAUAUUCAAAUUUACUGGCAAAACAGCAUGCACAGUUGGAAACUUGGCUUGCAGCCAUGUUUUGAAUAUUGAAUGAGGAAACAAUCCCUACUGAGUAGCAACAAUACAUUACUACUUAAUUCAUCAGAAGAACACAUUUACAAACUCCUAACAGCAGAGUUUCUGAUUUCUUAGAUUCAAAUACUGUAAUUAAAGAGAUCUGUAUAGUAUUACUACUAUAAUUCACCUUCAAGAGAGUUGAUGCAUCUGCAAAGGUUUUUUUUGCAUCAUCUGAGAACAGCAUGUAUAUUAAGGGUAACUCCUUGAUAUAAAGCUAAACGCUCUUUCUUUUUUUAAUAAACCUGUAUGUCAAACCAAUUUUGAACAUAUGUUAACUACUUCACUAUAGAAUAGGGGAUCCAUAAUGAUUAGAAGGUUCAAACAUGUUCUUGAAUAAAAUUCAGCAAUUAUCUUGUAAACUUUGGGGGAUGGAUAUGUACUCUUAUCCUAUAUGUUUGACUACCAUAAUCAUAUAUUUAUAAACCAAUUUUUUACAUAGGUUAACUACUUCACUAUUUAAUAGUGGAUCCAUAAACAUAUAGGAUUUUGGGGGCUUAUACUAUAGGAUAAUGUGCUAGUGACCCCUGAUAGUGACCAACUUUAAACUCAGAGUGCCAAUUUUACUUUAUUCAUAAUGGAAUUUAAAUACAUAAUUGUUAAAACAAUGGAGGAAGAAGAAUAAGAUACCAGCACAUCAACUCAUAGAAAGUAGAAUAUUCCCCGAUGCCUAGUUGCAAACCCAUAAUGCUUAUUACUGAUCAAAUUGCCCUAGGAAACACGACAAGGCUAUGCUGAAAGAAUAAUACAACAGCGCUUGCAUAGAAGAUAAAUAAAGCAGUAACAAUUUCCUAGGUAACAGGGGCUAUUAAAAGCACCUCCAUUUCUGGAAAGGGGAAAAACUCCAUCUAUACAUAAAGCAGAAAUACAUACUAUUGCAAACCAAAAACAAGACAAUAAUUGGAAUGUGAAUAAAACCCUUGCAAAAGAAUGGGGCAAGCAUUAAUUCAAACUUCAGAUAUUUGAGGUAAUUGUAGAUUGCCUGAAGUGUUUCAAACAUAAUCCUUCUUGCAUAACAUCAACAAUUUAGUCUUGUUACUUAUUUUAUGAAGAAAAAGAAACCAAACAACUUUCAUCUGAAUAAAUCAUUUGUUAUUUUAAAAAAUUGACACUAGAACCUGCGUGAUAUACAGGAAAAAGAAUAUAGCACUGUAGCCAUUUGAAAUUCAAGAAUUCAUAUAAUCAUGUUAUAACUCACUGGCUUUAAGCCUUUAUUGGAAGUUGGAAGAUAACAUUAUCAGGUUGAAAAAGUAGUGUUCAGAAAAAACACAGCUCCUGGUAGGGCUGUAAAUUGAUACGGACUAUCCGGUGUCUCGGCUCAUAUCCGGCUCGAAAAUAUGAUACAUGUCUCAUAUCCGUUUUGAAAACGAUCCAAACCUGGCGGAAAAAUUAAGCCCGUAUAAUAUAUGAUCCCGGAUACGAGCACACCUAUACCCGCUCAGAUUCGGUCUCAUAUAAUUUUUCAUAAUAUGAUCCUACCCGAAUAACCAAAUAUGAUCCACGGUUCAUAUUCGAUUCAAACUCAUAUAUAUAUAUAUAUAUUAUAUUUUAACAUCAUCAUAUUUGCAAGUAAAUAGUCAUCAUUUUAUAAAAUUUUAAUAUCUUAUUUAAGUUUAUACCUUCAUAAAAUAUGAUUUAUUUAAUGUGAUCAUGCUUAUUAUCUUCAUAUAUAUUUAAUAAAUGAUAUAUACCAACAUAUAACUAUAAGUUUUAAUUUAAAAUUAUUAUUCUUUAUAAUAUUAUGUUUACUUAGACUAAAUGAUAAUUAUUUGAACAAUUGAAAUAAUAAUGAUAUUUAGUGUUAGUGGAUCAUAUCCGGCUCAUAUUCGAUGGAUCAUAAACUACCCGGUUAAAAAAUAGAAAAUACGAUACUGGAUCAUAUCCGGUUCAGAUCCGAAUCUCAAAUACCCGGGAUCGGAUUAUAUCCGAAUAAAACGAUCCCGGACCCAAAUCUGGACAAGCUAAAAAUAAUAUGAUCCGGUACUUGAGCAGAGGGGUACCCGGGAUCACCCGGAUCAUUUUACAGCCCUAGUUCCUGGGGCUUAAAAUCAUCCAUAAAUUACAAGAACCCAAUUUAUUUUCUACAAUUUUAGCCAUCACAAUUUUCCUCAAAACAAAAAAGCUCUACUCUAUUCGUACCAAACAUAUUGCAUUUAGAUAUAGAACAUAAAACAUAAGCACCGGAAGAGACCGGAAACAUCUUUUUUACUACCGAACAACAUUAAAAGUCAAGUAAAAUUCUUAAUAUCUAUGUCCGACUCGGAGACUUCGCACGGACAUUCAAUUCAAUUAAAAGACAGAAACAACAAUGAAGUCUUUUAAAAGGACAAAUCUGUUUUUUAAAUUACUAGUAUAAUACUUAUAAGGAUAAGAAAUAGGAGACCAUCAUCAAUUCAUAGACAACAAGGAGACAAGGUUAAUUUCACCUCUCAUCAUACCAUAUGUAAUUAUUUGAGAAAUAUGACACCUAGACAAAGCACCUUUUUAUUCAGGUAAAGUUGACACUAGUCCAUUUGGGUACAUCAGGACAGUAGCUGAUAAUAUGUACACACAGCAUUUGGUAGGCAGGAUAAUAUAAACCAUGUAAUUUCCAAUAUCUACAAUGCACAAACAAACAGAAAACAAAAGCAACAUCAAUUAUCAAUAUACCUAUCAGACAAUCCAAACCUAAAAUCCACGAAAAUCAACAUCACACAUAUGAUUCUGGCUUCAAUCAAUAGUCGACCUCACAAAGUAAUUCCACAUUUAUGUACUAAACUAUAUGGCAUAUCACAAAUAUAAACCUAAAAAAACUAAAUAACACACACAAUAAACAUUCAACAAAAACAAGAAAUAUACCUAACAAUCCUCCUCCUCCUCAUCAUCAAGUAACAACUCUGCAUUGCCUAGCAUCACCAACCAUCGAUCCCCGUCCACUACUCAACGUCAAUCCCACGGGCACAUCCCGACACAAAACCCUAACAUACCGCUUCCUCGUCCCCCACGCUCCAGCCUUAAACCUAGCUCUAGCCAACAACCUAACACUAAACCUAACACUCCCUCUCCCUCUAUCACCACCAAUAUCCCUAACAACCCAAUCAUCAACAUACGCUCCCACAGCACCAAAAGUGGCCUUCACCUUGGUCUCAUUCCUCUUCCCUUGACUAAACGGAGGCAACGUAGUCGAUGCCAGCCCCUCCGACUUAUAAAACACAUCGGCAUCAAUUCGAUCAUAAUUCACCGUGAUCUUCUUGUUCGGAUUCCUCACAGUAAACUCAACUUCCCAGUUGCCGGAAACCAGAGAGCUGGAGAUAUUAAAGUUAGAAACAGUCACCGAGUCGACUCGAAACUCAGGGACUCGAGGCCUAAGUACUAGCCAAAUUAUCAACAAAACGGUGCCGGAAAUGAUGAUACAGGCGAUUAUGAUUGAGAAGAGGCGGCGGAUGAAAGCGCGUUGAGGAUCGGGUUGGUUGUAGUAGGGGUUGUGAGUGUAGUAGGCGGCGUUGGACGGUGGCGGGGCGGCGUAGGGGUAGGCGGUACCGGAGGAAUAGCCGUUAGGGUUAGGGUUAGGGUUAGGGUGGGCGGGGUAGCCGGUAACGGGUCGGGUCGGAUUGGUGGGGUUCAUUUGGGGAGAAUAUAGAGGAGUGUUUUGUGUGUAGAGGUUGUAUGUAUAGGAGUAGAUGUGAAGGAAAGUGUGGGAGAAGUGUGUGGAAGAUGAAGGAGUUUCUAUGAGUUAAAGUGAAACGGGGUUGGAGGGAGAUUGAUUUGUCUUUGGGGUAAAUUAGUCGAUUUAGGUAAAAGGCGGUGCAACGUUUAGCUCAUAUUUUCGUAUAAGAUUUUUAUUAUAAUUUUUUGGUUCAUAUUUUUAUUUUUUUAUGAUUUAUUUUUUGUAUAUCAAAUAAAAUUUGGUUAAUGGAUAUUUGACCUGUCAAGUCAAAGUAAAGUUUAUCGCUACAUUACAUAUGUGUUUUUCAUUCGAGGAUAAAAUGAUUUUCAAGUGAUUGUCUAAAUUUUUUUAAUUUGUGAUUAUAAUAAUGUUUAAGUAAGAGCAUGUUAGUACGGAUUUUAAGUAAUUUUCGAUUUCAAACUGAAAAAUGUAUGUUUUUGUAUUAAGUCAAAAGUCGAUUUAAAAUUAUAAAUAAAUCAAAAAUUGAUUCAAAGUCUGAAGCUAAUUUGAUAUUAUUUUAUCGAUGAUUUUUUUCUUUUCCAUAUUUUUAUACAAAAAUUAAAAUCAAAAAAUGAUGUCUUUAUAGUAUCGUCAAUUUUACGCCAAAAAUAUUCUUGGUUGUUUAAGGCCAGUUUCUACUAAAAUCUAAUAUGCUCUUGGUUCUUUGAGGCCAGCUUCUACUAAAACCUUGAUAACGAAUUCAAACUCUACGACUCUGGGAAAAAUUUCGUCAUGACGACAUAAUAAUACCUAUGCACAAGUAAGUUUGAGGAUUUGAACAUGGGUGAUGUAUUCAAACUUGCAAGUUCUUAUUCAAAUAUAAAUUUCCACCAUUUCUCAACAGGUUAGCCGCAUUGUCUUUCACACGAAAAAGACAUAUAUAUAUACUUUUAUCGCAUAAUAUUUGUCAAUAAAUUAUCACUCAGAUGCAUCAUUGAUAUUAUUGGAGUUCUUGAAAAUUACGGCCAUCUUCAACAAAUCAAAAUAAUGUAUGGACAAAGAAGUAUCGUGAAAUUCAGGAUCACAAAUGAAUGACAAAUAUAUUUUGAUAUAAUACAAACAUCCUUUUUGACUACUUAAACUACAUUUGAGUUUGAAUUAUCUCACGUGGCUGUAGUUAUGCAGGUAUCAUGAUUGCUAAAUACAGUAAUAUUUUAUAGUAAUCACAUAUUACCAUAAUAUCUUUCAUUUAUUUUUUUUGUUAAAUACAGUAAUAUUUUAUAGUAAUCACAUAUUACCAUAAUAUCUUUCAUUUAUUUUUUUUGUUUUCUGUGUACGCAUCAGUGCAGUCAUUAAUUUUUCAUGAUGGCUAAAUGCAGUAAUAUUUUACUCCGUGCAGUAACUAGAAAUUACCAUAAUAUCCUUCAUUUAUUCUUUUGUUUCAUGCGGGUUGAUCUCGCAAAUAAAGCACAAAAUGAAGGCUCUUUGGCGUCCACUUGCGCAUCAUUGCUUUCUUAAUAACCUCUGAGAGUGGCCGAACUCCGGCCCUAAAGAUAGCUGGCAAUUGUGAUGCUGCCUCUAACGGCUGCACCUUCUAGAGCUCCCAGAUUUCUACUUGCCAGAGCAAUGUCAUCAAAGUCCUCUCUCUUCUGGUGGCGGGUAGGGUCGGAAACAAGCAUGUCUUCUCCUGCUGAUGCUAAGCAAGUAGCUAACUAUCUCUACAACAACUUCUUAGAUGGACAAUCAGCUUCUCGACCUUUCGGGUCUGUCAUUUUAGAUGGCGUAGACUUUGACAUGUCCGAUUUCGAGAGAAAAGGCAUUCGUCUUUACUAUGAUGAUCUAGCACGGGACCUCUCGGGUUUCAGCACACAACAGAGAAAAGUCUACUUGUCAGCAGCACCACAAUGUCCUAUCCCUGACGCUAAACUAGACGCUGCAAUUCAAACUGGCCUUUUCGACUACGUCUGGAUACAAUUUUACAACAACCCACAGUGUCAUUACACAGGCACAGCUACUAAUCUUUUGGCAAGGUGGAGACAGUGGGCUGCCGCGACUCCAUCACGCAGUCAGAUCUUUCUUGGAUUACCAGCGGCGCGACUCCAUCACGCAGUCGGAUCUUUCUUGGAUUACCAGCGGUGCGACUCCAUCACGCAGUCAGAUCUUUCUUGGAUUACUAGCGACUACUGCAGCAGCACCUAGUGGUGGCUAUAUUUCACCGAGUGCAUUAACCUCUGAAGUUCUUCCAAGUAUCAAGACUACGCCAAGUUAUGGCGGUGUCAUGCUUUGGAAUAAGUUUUAUGAUACUGAGUUUUAGUUCAGC